UACGAAGGGGGCUAGCGUUGCUCGGAAUCACUGGGCGUAAAGCGCACGUAGGCGGACUCUUAAGUCGGUGGUGAAAUCCUGGAGCUCAACUCCGGAACUGCCUCCGAUACUGGGAGCCUUCGAGUCCGGGAGAGGUGAGUGGAACUGCGAGUGUAGAGGUGAAAUUCGUAGAUAUUCGCAAGAACACCAGUGGCGAAGGCGGCUCACUGGCCCGGUACUGACGCUGAGGUGCGAAAGCGUGGGGAGCAAACAGG
rnacentral:rRNA from 1 species